UCCGUAGGUGAACCUGCGGAAGGAUCAUUAGUGAAUUUAGCGCAUCUGCUUUGCAGAGCGUGACCUCCACUUUCUAACUCUGUGCACUUAAUGGCGGAAGAGAUGAAACAUGCUCUUCUGCGGCUCAUUUUAUAACACUAGUUAAAGAAUGUAACGAAAUAUCGAAACAAAAAAAAACUUUCAACAACGGAUCUCUUGGCUCUCGCAUCGAUGAAGAACGCAGCGAAAUGUGAUAAGUAAUGUGAAUUGCAGAAUUCAGUGAAUCAUCGAAUCUUUGAACGCACCUUGCGCUCCCUGGUAUUCCGGGGAGCAUGUCUGUUUGAGUGUCAUGAACUCUUCAACCCACCGGUUUCUUGUAAACUGGCUGGUGUUUGGUUUCUGAGUGUUGCUCGUCCUCGUGACUGAGCUCAUUCGUAAUAUAUGAGCAUCUCUAAUUCGAAUUCGGAUUGACUCAGUGUAAUAGACUAUUCGCUGAGGACACACCUAGUGUGGCCGAACAAGAUAAUUGUAGAAGCUUCUAACCCUUCUAGUCAUUUUAAGAUUAGACCUCAGAUCAGAUAGGACUACCCGCUGAACUUAAGCAUAUCAAUAAGCGGAGGA
rnacentral:rRNA from 1 species